rfam:Bombyx mori DNA, contig: Bm_scaf40_contig23253, strain: p50T/Dazao, build 2, whole genome shotgun sequence.
UUAGCUUAAAUUUGUAUGGAGUUGGAACGUUUACCUGCGUUUGCCGCUAGGGGCACUGUUCCAAGAUGCAUACAAAUUUGAGUUA